rnacentral:rRNA from 1 species
UACGAAGGGGCUAGCGUUGCUCGGAAUCACUGGGCGUAAAGGGUGCGUAGGCGGGUCUUUAAGUCAGGGUGAAAUCCUGGAGCUCAACUCCAGAACUGCCUUUGAUACUGAAGAUCUUGAGUUCGGGAGAGGUGAGUGGAACUGCGAGUGUAGAGGUGAAAUUCGUAGAUAUUCGCAAGAACACCAGUGGCGAAGGCGGCUCACUGGCCCGAUACUGACGCUGAGGCACGGAAAGCGUGGGGAGCAAACAGGG